rnacentral:tRNA from 1 species
GCCCAGUUGGUAGAUCAUGGGACUCUUAAUCCCAGUGUCAUGGGUUUGAGCCCCAUGUUGGGCG